GCCUGGGUGGCUCAGUUGGUUGAGCGUCUGACUUCGGCUCAGGUCAUGAUCUCAUGGUUUGUGAGCUCAAGCCCCACAUCAGGCU
rfam:Felis catus isolate Cinnamon breed Abyssinian chromosome C1, whole genome shotgun sequence.